UCAGCACUUCCACAGGUCUAACCCCAGACAGUGGGGCUGAGACUUGGUAGCUGGUGCUAAGAGUAAAAAUCCCUUGGUUACUCUUGCCCUGGCCAUGCCUGUGGCAACAGUGACUUGGGGGACAGUA
rnacentral:snoRNA from 1 species